UUCGUCUGCUGGCCCCACCACGCCUUCGCUUAUUUACCCAUGUAUCAGCGUUUACUGGGAACCCCCUGGGCAUGCUGGGCAGCCAGCUGGCACUAAGGGCAUAAGGAUAAACACAAGGUCUCCCAGCGCAAAGAGCUCACCCUCUAGACCAGGCUGCCGACGGGUGGCCCACUUGCCUCCAGAUGUGGCCCCCAGACCUGCUUGCUUUGGUGCCCACCCCCCAUAGUUUAUAAUUGGAAAUGGCCCAGAAAAAUCUGAUUUCUGGCUUCUCUUGACAAGUCAGAAGAUCUGGCAGCUCUGUGGUCUGCGUUCCUACAACCAGUGGGCUGAAGAGUGGCCGCUCCUCUCCGCACCCUUGCAGAGGGCACACUCGAGCCAGUUUGCUGCGGCCCUGCCCCUCCCUAUGGUCUCGUGCCUGGUCUUCCUUGCUCAGUACCUCCCCCUCCCCAUCUGACCCCUGUAGACAUUUAAGCUGAUUUCAGUGGGAGGAGUUAGUGCGGGCCUCUCAGAGGAGGGCAGUGGGUCUUGAUCUCCUGCUAGAGGGUGUCCCCCUCCAGGUCUUCUUGUUUCCUACUCCUCAGGGUGAAUGGAUGUAUCAGAUCCUUUCCCAAGAACGGAUUUACAGCAUGUGCUGGGGGAGGGGUGCCAGUGAGGGUCGGGGGUGAGUGGGAGAUCUGAUGCUGGGAUGAUGGCACCAAGACCCAUGAAAGUGGUUUUUUUAAUUUUUGUGCUAUUUGUCGCUCCCGCGGCAUAGGGAGGUUCCCAGGCUAGGAGUAAAAUCGGAGCUGUGGCCGCCGGCCUAUGCCACAGCCACAGCACUGCCAGAUCAGAGCCAUGUCUGCAACCCACACCACAGCUCAUGGCAACGCCGGAUUCUUAACCCAUUAAGCAAGGCCAGGGAUCAGACCUGUAUCCUCAUGUAUCCCAAUCGGGUUCAUUAAUUGCCGAGCCAAGAAGGGAACUCCAGAAGUGGUUCUUUUUUUUUUUUUCAGAAGCUGGAGCACAGUUCCCCAGGUAACAGUUGAGGUCAAAUUUGAGACCCACAAGGGAGAGGAGCCUGGAGCUUAGAGGGCAGUUGAGUCAGAUAAAUCGUGUUUUCUAGGGGCAAGACUGGGAACCCUACUUCAACAUCCAGCCCCCUGAUGGAACCUUGUUCUGAACACCACUCCCUGUUCUGGGCAGAGCUGAGGCCCCCAUCAGGCAAAGGGCAUGAGAAAUAACUUCUCCAGCUUUCCUGCCCCUGCCCCUGCACCUGGAGGAAAGGUCACCUGUGCUUUUGCCAAGUCUUGUUUUUUUCCCCCGAAUCUUUGAACUGUCACCUGGGCAGGGGGCCAACCCUAGGGAGAGGGCUAGUGGCUGGCUGGCAGGUAAGGGCCACCUUGUCUCCCCUUCACCUUCUCAGCCAGGUGGUCUGACAGUGGCUGGGCGCUGGCCAGGGGUCUGGAACCAUGGCCCUGUGCGGCGAAGGAGGAGGAUUUGUUCAAAGAGAGAUGCUUUCCUGAGUUAGGGGGCAGGGUGGGGGCUGGGGACUGCUUUUCCCUUUGGAGCUUUCAACGGUCGGGGUGGGGAAGUGCAUGCUGGGGUGUCCAGGGUGGGGCUGGGCUGUAGGGAGUGAGUAAGGAGGCAUCAUUCUCUGCAUCCUGCAAGUGGAGGGUGGUGCCCCCAAGAGGGAGCGCCUCUCUAAGAGAGCGGAGCCUAGGGAACAACCUGUAAGGCGGGGGCUCCUUCUCAGGGCUGAGAACUGGCCACCCCCAGCUCUUUUAGGAGCCUAAGAAUGAGAGCCUCCUUAAAGGAUGGCUCACUCGCUUUCCACUGGUCCCUGUCCAGCCCCUGAGAUGCGCCAGGGAUUGCAGACAAAGGAGGGGAGAACAGGACAACAAGAGCAUUCUUGUCUCUUGGUCAAGAUCACUCACUCUUGACCUUGGCUGAGCAUUGGAAGACCCUGUGAGCUUUACAAAAUCCUGAUGUCUGGUCCCCAUCUGCAGAGAUUCUUGUUUAAUUGAUCUGGGGUGCAGCCUGCUGUUGGGAUUUUUAAAAGCUCCCCAGGGGAUUCUAGUGUGCAGCGAAGUGUGAGAACCUCUGAUCUAGACAGUGCAGGGCGAGUGCUGUUUACUGGUUUUCCUUUCAUGGGUUUUUUGUUGUGAGCAACAGACCACCAGUCUCGCCAGACUUCUAAGGGUAAUAUAAGAACACUUAGAAAAAGUGGACGGGCUAUGAGACGAGUGGAAAGAAAGCCCAGUUCCUAGUCUGUGCCAAAUACAUUGUAUUUUUAUUUAACCAUCAACUCUGGGAGGUUGAUACGCUCAGGCUCAGUUUACAGAUGAGGAGCCUGAGCGUUGUCUGUGUCUUCUGGGUCCCACUGCUGUAGGAUGGCAGAGCCGUGAAAGCAAUGGACCUGUGACGGGCAGCCAGUGGGAACGAAGUCAGUGCUGAUGCUUUCAGACACAGCAUUUCUGGGGUCGGCUGAGGGGGUGGGGCUUGGGAAAGAACUGAGCUCCUCUCGGCCUCAGAAACAUGCCACAGAGGCUUUUGAAGAUGCGGAGGGGGCAUUUAAGGUGCGGCUUGGAAGAUGCUGAAAGGUGCUAUUUAAUGGGUCACUUUAUACAAAAUAAUCAUCACACUGGCUUCCAAAGCUGGUGACAGUGCUUGCAAGCCGCUUUUUGCAGUGGUGGCAAAGCCCGCUAUGUUCUGCUGCCAGCUCUAUCUUCUUUCUCAGGGUGGGUCUCAGGAGCAGUGGGGCAGGGAGGAGAAUGGCAGGCCUGGUGUCAGGAGAGCUGGUUGGAGUCCUGCCGGGUCACUUGGUGGUCACCUUGCUUUGGGCAAGGGCCUGAGCUCCUGAGUCUUGGUGUCCUGAGUCCUGAGCUUCUGAGUCUUCAUAGACAUACUGGGGAUUUCCAUCCAAGGUGGAGUAACAGGGAUUGGAUUUUCCCUUCCCACUGAAACAAAAAACAAACCAAUAGAGCAAAUGAAACAAUGGUUUUCAAGACACUGGACAUCAGGCCACAAGUUCAGUAACCCCAGAGAGCUCGAUGAUUCUGUUUACUGCUUUGUGAGAGUUUCUAGGUCUUGGCACAGGGCAGGGGGAUGAGGCCAGGAGGGGAGAGAUGGAAAUAUACUAUUGUAAGGUUCUUCUACUCCAGGUACAGUUAUAUGAGAUCUCUUGAAGUUAGACUGUGUGUCCUGUAAAUGGUAAAGCAACCACUCAAAUAUCCCAAAGGUUAGAGUUAGUAAGCAGUUAGGUUAGUUAGUUAGUAAGAUUAGUUAGUAAGCCAGUUCAGGAGAUAAAGCAGAGUUGUCAAUAAUGCCAAAUUCAAAAAACAAAGACAAAAACAAAAC
ensembl:lncRNA